GAGCCAGUUCCAAGGAGACACACGAGAGGACAGGGCGAAGUCGGGAGUCGGCGUCGGUUAGUCCAAGUUGGUGGAAAGAAAGAAAAAACAAACAAACAAGAAAAAGAAGAAUAAACGGAAGAAAAAAGUAAAGACAAAACCAAGCGCAGACAGAAAGUUAGGCCAAGGCCGGGCAGGGGUAGGACGGGCUUUUUGGAGGCGCACCUGUCCCCAGGCCCUCGCCCGUGCGCACGCCAGGGGGAGGGUCCGCUCAGCAUUCGGAAGUCGCCCCGUUCCCUUGUUCUGCUCACACUGGGCCACAGGAAGCCAAUACCUGGCAGGUGACACAGUGCCCUGAGGUUUGAAUCGGCAGGACCGCCAAGGAGGCAAAGGAGAAAGUGGGCUCCCGCAGCUCGCCGACCCUGCCGUGGGUUCCGAAGGCGCCGUGCUCCAGGAGCAGAGAGGAAUAUGUAGCCUAUGUUUAUACAAUAUAAGACAUUCUGGAGAUAAUGAUAACACUUUCAUCAAAAGGAUGGAAAAGGGAGAGUCUGGGAAGCACUCAAUGCCCGACAUCGAUUCCGCAUUCAAUAAACAUCAGCUAUUAUUAAGAAUCUCUUGGAUUUUCAAGUCAUCUGGCUCAAUAUCACGGUCUCUGAAGCAACAGCUAAAGCUUUUGAGCCAUCACCCAACAGCUUGGUUUUGGGUGGCACUGCAGUCUUUUCAAAAGGAACUGCUUUGAAUGAUAACAGUUCCAAACCCGAGGAAAAUGUGUGCGGACCAGACUAGCUCAUGGAGGGUGAGGAAGAGGGUGAGAGUGGAAAUGAAGAAAGACAGAGGCUACAGAUGGAAGAGCACAAAUGCCCAAGGACAAUUGUAGCGUGGACCACUAUUCCAGUGUGGGUCACCACUGAAACUAUGGGAAUGGGGAGUUCUGUUCUAGGACAGCACUAAUUUCUGCUGUCUCAUAUAGUUGCUAGUAGCUACAUACAGCUAUUAAACACUUGAAAUAUG